UACGUAGGGGGCAAGCGUUGUCCGGAUUUAUUGGGCGUAAAGAGCUCGUAGGCGGUUCCGUAAGUCGUGAAGUCAAAUCUCUGGGCUCAACCCAGAAUCGCUUCCGAUACUGCGGUGACUGGAGUCCGGUAGGGGAGUGUGGAAUUCCGUGGUGUAGCGGUGAAAUGCGCAGAUAUCAGGAGGAACACCAACAGCGAAGGCAGCACUCUGGGCCGGUACUGACGCUGAGGAGCGAAAGCCAGGGAGCGAACGGG
rnacentral:rRNA from 1 species